rnacentral:rRNA from 1 species
CCUUGUACACACCGCCCGUCACACCACGAAAGUCGGCAACACCCGAAGUCAGUGGCCCAACCCGCAAGGGAGGGAGCUGCCGAAGGUGGGUCAGCGAUUGGGGUG